rnacentral:rRNA from 1 species
AUUGAACGCUGGCGGCAUGCCUUACACAUGCAAGUCGAACGGUAACAGGUCUUCGGAUGCUGACGAGUGGCGAACGGGUGAGUAAUACAUCGGAACGUGCCCGAUCGCGGGGGAUAACGAGGCGAAAGCUUUGCUAAUACCGCAUACGAUCUACGGAUGAAAGCGGGGGAUCUUCGGACCUCGCGCGGACGGAGCGGCCGAUGGCCGAUUAGGUAGUUGGUGGGAUAAAAGCUUACCAAGCCGACGAUCUGUAGCUGGUGUGAGAGGAUGAUCAGCCACACUGGGACUGAGACACGGCCCAGACUCCUACGGGAGGCAGCAGUGGGGAAUUUUGGACAAUGGGCGAAAGCCUGAUCCAGCCAUGCCGCGUGUAGGAUGAAGGCCUUUGGGUUGUAAACUGCUUUUGUACGGAACGAAAAGCCUCUUUCUAAUAAAGAGGGGUCAUGACGGUACCGUAAGAAUAAGCACCGGCUAACUACGUG